rnacentral:rRNA from 1 species
GACGAACGCUGGCGGCAGGCCUAACACAUGCAAGUCGAGCGAGCGGCGGACGGGUGCGUAAUGUAUGGGGACUGCCAGCUAGAGGGGGAUAACUACUGGAAACGGUGGCUAAUACCGCAUACUAUCGGAUAACCCAUAUGGGAGUAGCUAGUAGGUGGGGUAACGGCUCACCUAGGCGACGAUCUCUAGCUGGUCUGAGAGGAUGAUCAGCCACACUGGGACUGAGACCCGGACCAGACUCCGACGGAGGCGGAAGUGGUGAAUAUUGCACAAUGGGGGCAAGCCUGAUGCAGCCAUGCCGCGUGUAUGAAGAAGGCCUUAGGGUUGUAAAGUACUUUCAGCGGGGAGGCGUUACCCGCAGAAGAAGCACCGGCGAACUCCGUGCCAGCAGCCGCGGUAAUAC